rnacentral:rRNA from 1 species
GAUGAACGCUGGCGGCGUGCCUAAUACAUGCAAGUCGAGCGAACAGACGAGGAGCUUGCUCCUUCGACGUUAGCGGCGGACGGGUGAGUAACACGUAGGUAACCUACCUAUAAGACUGGGAUAACUUCGGGAAACCGGAGCUAAUACCGGAUAAUAUUUCGAACCGCAUGGUUCGAUAGUGAAAGAUGGCUUUGCUAUCACUUAUAGAUGGACCUGCGCCGUAUUAGCUAGUUGGUAAGGUAACGGCUUACCAAGGCAACGAUACGUAGCCGACCUGAGAGGGUGAUCAGCCACACUGGAACUGAGACACGGUCCAGACUCCUACGGGAGGCAGCAGUAGGGAAUCUUCCGCAAUGGGCGAAAGCCUGACGGAGCAACGCCGCGUGAGUGAUGAAGGUCUUCGGAUCGUAAAACUCUGUUAUUAGGGAAGAACAAACGUGUAAGUAACUGUGCACGUCUUGACGGUACCUAAUCAGAAAGCCACGGCUAACUACGUG